UGUUGCCAUGGCAACACCGUGACUCGCAUCCGUAUCCAAGGAGGUCCCCCCUCAUCCGGCAUCCCAAGGUUUCCCUCAAAAUCUUGUCGAAUGCCAAUGAACCAGGGCGAGAGGGGGCGAGAUUGAUGUGCACCCUGAAAUAGCACCAAAGCACGACAGUACAAAGGCAGGAGGGUCUGGAAUAGGAAUGAGAUGGAGGCGGUGGGGAAGGGAAUCCCCAUUCUCACAUCCACGGCGCAUGGGUCCGUCCAGACCCCUAACCUGAGCCAGAGACACCACGGAAGCCUGAGCUUGUCUUUGAGUGCCACUUGGCUGUGAUGUCUGGUGUGUUGUGUUUCAGAACUUUGUCAGUCUGGAUUCGGAAGUCCCUCAGUAUCUUUGCGUGCUCAUUUUCCAAUACUUUUGCAGAAACUCAAUCAACCGAAAGGAAAUCCUUCCUCGGCUCCAUCAUUCAAACACAGCGCAGAGAAAUGGUAUGUAAGGAAAGGUGACUCAUCCAUCUGUCAGAACUGUCUGAGUUUAUAGAUAGUGAAUAUUGGACUUUCCUAGAUUUCCAGCCCAAUUCAUUGAGUGUCCCCAAAUGGCCCUUCUUCUCUGGGACACCAUGAUUUAAUGAUUUCCAGCUUUUCCCAUUUUUCUCACCUCAAGUGCAUCCACACUGUAGAAUUAAUGCAGUUUAGCAUCACUUUAGCUGUCAUGGCUCAAUCCUACAGAAUCCUGAAAGUUAUAUAGAUUGACAAUUAUUUGGACGAGAAAGCUGAAGACAUGAUUCCAUGGCAUGGAGCCAUGGCAGUUAAAGCAGUAUCAAGCUGCAGUAAUUCUCCAGUCUAGAUGGUAAAAGGAUAAAGGUAAAGGUUUCCCUUGACGUUAAGUCCAGUUGUGACCGACUCUGGGGGUUGGUGCUCAUCUCCAUUUCUAAGCCGAAGAGCCGGCGUUGUCCGUAGACACCUCCUAGGUCAUGUGGCCACUGGCAUGACUGCAUGGAGCACCGUUACCUUCCUGCCGGAGGAGUACCUAUUGAUCUACUUACAUUGGCAUGUUUUAGAACUGCUAGGUUGGCAGGAGCUGGAGCUAACAGUGGGCACUCACUCCGCUCUCUGGAUUUGAAUCUGGGACCUUUCGGUCUGAAAGUUCAGCAGCUCAGCGCUUUAACACACUGAGCUACCGGAGGCUCGUUUUAUUCCAAGGGGGGUGGGGGUGGAAAUCCAAACUUUUUGAUGGACGCUUGAGAUUUUAGGAGGAGGAAUCUAACUGAACCGAAGAAAAAACAUUCCAAUAUUUUACCAAGGGAACAACGUGGCACAUAUAUAAUUGAUUGGUAUUUUGAGCCCACUCUUUUCCAUCUUUGGCCCUUUUGUCACCAGGACAUAAUUUCCCAAAAAUAUCUCCAAAAAUGAAUUCAGUGUGCAGGCAGAGACCUUCUGCCAACUUUGUCCAGUAUUUCAUUUUAUUGAUUUGAGACGUAGUGGAAUUCCCCACUCUUUUGCCUUUGCUUUUCCCUUUGAAACAUAAUAAUAAUAAUAAUAAUAAUAAUAAUAAUAAUAAGAAGAAGAAGAAGAAGAAGAAGAAGAAGAAGCCAUCAGAACAAACGCAAUUAAGGCCAAGAUUGAAAAAUCAGCUGAUGACCCAAAAUGCAGACUGUGCAAGGAAGCUGAUGAAACCAUUGAUCCUCAGCUACUGUAAGAAAAUCGCACAGACUGACUGCAAACAGAGGCACAACUAUGUGGCCCAAAUGAUUCAUUGGAACUUAUGCCUCAAGUAUCACCUGCCAGCAGUAAAGAACUGGUGGGAUCACAAACCUGCAAAGAUAAUGGAAAAUGAAAACGCAAAGAUACUGUGGGACUUCCAAAUCCAGACUGACAAAGUUCUGGAACACAACACACCAGACAUCACAGUUGUGGAAAAGGUUUGGAUCACUGAUGUUGCCAUCCCAGGUGACAGUCGCAUAGAUGAAAAAUAACAGGAAAAACUCAGCUGCUGUCAGGACCUCAAGAUUGAACUUCAAAGACUCUGGCAGGAACCAGUGCAGGUGGUCCCGGUGGUGAUGGGCACACUGGGUGCUGUGCCAAAAGAUCUCAGCUGGCAUUUGGAAACAAUAGACAUUGACAAAAUUACGAUCUGCCAACUGCAAAAGGCCACCCUACUGGGAUCUGCACGCAUCAUCUGAAAAUACAUCACACAGUCCUAGAUACUUGGGAAGUGUUUGACUUGUGAUUUUGUGAUACGAAAUCCAGCAUAUCUAUCUUGUUUGCUGUGUCAUACUAUGUCGUUGUGUCAAUAAUAAUAAUAAUAAUAAUAAUAAUAAUAAUUCAACUUGUGUUUGACUUGUGAUUUUGUGAUACGAAAUCCAGCAUAUCUAUCUUGUUUGCUGUGUCAUACUAUGUUGCUGUGUCAAUAAUAAUAAUAAUAAUAAUAAUUAUUCAACUUGUGUUCGACUUGUGAUUUUGUGAUACGAAAUCCAGCAUAUCUAUCUUGUUUGCUGUGUCAUACUAUGUUGCUGUGUCAAUAAUAAUAAUAAUAAUAAUUCAACUUGUGUUCGACUUGUGAUUUUGUGAUACGAAAUCCAGCAUAUCUAUCUUGUUUGCUGUGUCAUACUAUGUUGCUGUGUCAAUAAUAAUAAUAAUAAUAAUAAUAAUAAUAAUAAUUUGCUCCAUUUAAAAUAGUGGCUCCAAACCUUCUUUUUUUUGCGUUAAUCUAAAAAUAAACUUUAAUCAAAAACUUUUAACAUAUUCAUUAAACUUAAUAGUAAUAUGAAUUAAGAGUACUGUACUAUUAUAGUUCUGGGUUGCCAGACUAUAAGAAAGAAAAGGGAAUUUCAGUAAACUUGGUGUUUCCUCUUCAUUUUUGCAACCCAGAGAUAAGCCAUCCUAUAACAAACCCUCAGUAGUGUGGAGAGAAAUGCGAAUUCUUCCACUUUUCUUUCUCCUCGGUCCUAAAGCAGCAUGCAUAAAAAUAUUAUCUAAUUGGAAAAUAAAUUACAAUAAUGGCCUCCUUUGAAAAGAAAAUCUUUUGUCACUUACUUGACUAAAGAAAUGUCCUUUCCUAAUAGAACUUGCAUUUGUUCCUCAGGCUUUUUACAUGCAGAUUUGCCAGGCUCUGCCCACCCCCUUCCCCCCCUCACGGCAGUCAGCAGGAAAAGAAGAGGAAACUUAUUUAUUGGGGCUGGAAAGAUGCUCAGAAUGAUUUCUCGCUUCUCCUGAAAACACACAUCUGUUUCUACGGAAACCGCUUCCUCGGUGCCCUUUUAGAAUUACCAAUUUCGCUGCCACACAGGGCUCCGCAGAUCCCUGUGCUGAAUGGAAAGGAAGCAAAAGCAAACAAAGAGCCAUUUCAAGGAUACCCUAUCAUCUAUCUGUCUAUCUAUCUAUCUAUCUAUCUAUCUAUCUAUCUAUCUAUCUAUCUAUCUAUCUAUCUAUCUAUCUAUCUAUCUAUCUAUCCAUCCAUCCAUCCAUCCAUCCAUCCAUCCAUCCAUCCAUCCAUCCAUCCAUCAUCUCUAUCUAUCUAUCUAUCUAUCUAUCUAUCUAUCUAUCUAUCUAUCUAUCUAUCUAUCUAUCUAUCUAUCUAUCUAUCAUCUAGAAUCAUAGAAUCAUAGAAUAGUAGAGUUGGAAGAGACCUCAUGGGCCAUCCAGUCCAACCCCCUGCUAAGAAGCAGGAAAUCGCAUUCAAAGCACCCCCGACAGAUGGCCAUCCAGCCUCUGCUUAAAAGCCUCCAAAGAAGGAGCCUCCACCACGGCCCCGGGGAGAGAGUUCCACUGUCGAACAGCCCUUCUCACAGUCAGGAAGUUCUUCCUGAUGUUCAGGUGGAAUCUCCUUUCCUGUAGUUGAAGCCAUUGUUCCAUUGCGUCCUAGUCUGCAGGGCAGCAGAAAACAAGCUCCCUCCCUCCUCCCUAUGACUUCCCUCCACGUAUUUGUACAUGGCUCUCAUGUCUCCUCUCAGCCUUCUCUUCUGCAGGCUAAACAUGCCCAGCUCUUUAAGCCGCUCCUCAUAGGGCUUGUUCUCCAGACCCUUAAUCAUUUUAGUCGCCCUCCUCUGGACGCUUUCCAGCUUGUCAACAUCUCCCUUCAACUGCGGUGCCCAGAAUGGGACCCAGUGUGAUUCCAGGUGUGGUCUGACCAAGGCAGAAUAGAAUAAGGGGGAGCAGGACUUCCCUGGAUCUAGACGCUCUUCCCCUAUUGAUGCAGGACAGAAUCCCGUUGGCUUUUUUAGCUGCUGCAUCACAUUGUUGGCUCAUGUUCAACUUCCUCCCCACGAGGACUCCAAGAUCUUUUUCGCACACACUGCUGUCAAGCCAGGCAUCGUCCCCCAUUCUGUAUCUUUGAUUCCCAUUUUUUCUGCCGAAAUGAAGUAUCUUGCAUUCGUCCCUGUUGAACUUCAUUUUGUGAGUUUCGGCCCAUCUCUCUAGUCUGUCAAGAUCGUUUUGAAUUCUGCUCCUGUCUUCUGGAGUGUUGGCUCUCCCUCCCAGUUUGGUGUCGUCUGCAAACUUGAUGAUCGUGCCUUCUGACCCUUCGUCUAAGUCGUUAAUAAAGAUGUUGAACAGAACCGGGCCCAGGACGGAGCCCUGCUGAUGGCACUCCACUCGUGGCUUCUUUCCAAGAUGAAGACGACGCAUUGGUGAGCACCCUUUGGGUUCGUUCGCUUAGCCAAUUACAGAUCCACCUAACCAUAGUUUUGUCUAGCCCACAUUUUACUAGUUUGUUUGCCGGAAGGUCGUGGGGGACUUUGUCGAAGGCCUUACUGAAAUCCAGGUAGGCUACAUCCACAGCAUUCCCUGUAUCGACCCAACUCGUAACUCUAUCGAAAAGUUACUCUAUCUAUCUAUAUCUAUUCAUCUAUCCAUCCAUCCAUCCAUCAUCUCUAUCUAUCUAUCUAUCUAUCUAUCAUCUAUCUAUCAUCUAUCUUUAUCUAUCCAUCUAACCUUCCUUCCUUCCUUCCAUCCAUCCAUCCAUCCAUCUAUCAUCUCUAUCUAUCAUCUAUCUAACAUCUAUCUAUCUAUAUCUAUCCUUCCUUCCUUCCUUCCUUCCAUCCAUCCAUCCAUCAUAUCUAUCUAUCUAUCUAUCUAUCUAUCUAUCUAUCUAUCUAUCUAUCAUCUAUCUAUAUCUAUCUAUCCAUCCAUCCAUCCAUCCAUCCAUCCAUCCAUCUAUCAUCUCUAUCCAUCCUUCCUUCCUUCCUUCCUUCCUUCCUUCCUUCCUUCCUUCCUUCCUUCCUUCCUUCCUUCCAUUUAUCAUCUCUAUCUAUAUCUAUCUAUCUAUCUAUCUAUCUAUCUAUCUAUCUAUCUAUCUAUCUAUCCAUCCAUCCAUCCAUCAUCUCUAUCUAUCCAUCCUUCCUUCCUUCCUUCCUUCCUUCCUUCCUUCCAUCCAUCCAUCAUAUCUAUUUAUCAUCUAUCUAUCUAUCUAUCUAUCUAUCUAUCUAUCUAUCUAUCUAUCAAUCAUCUAUCUAUAUCUAUCAUCUGUCUCUAUCUCUAUCUAUCUAUCAUCUAUCUAUCUUUUCAUUUACUAUUUAGCUCACUAUCAUUUCACUUACCUACUUCAUUUUCUAUCUAGCUCACUCUCUAUGUAAAGGUAAAGGUUUCUCCUGACGUUAAGUCCAGUCGUGUCUGACUCUGGGGGUUGGUGCUCAUUAUUUCUGAAAUUUACCACCCUCAGCUUAUACUGGAGUCAAUGUUUUCCCAGUUUUUUUGUGAUAAAAUCAGGUGCUUCGGCUUAUAUUUGAGUCGGCUUAUACUCUAGUAUAUACGGUAUAUAUCUAUCUACCUAUCUACCUCUAUUAUCUAUCUAAUCUAUGCACAUAGAUCUUUCUAUUCUCAAUCUCUUUCUAAUCUAACUUUGUUAUCUCAAUUCAUCUGCUUCAGCAAUCCAGCUCUAUAAUCUCUCUCAACUGCUUAUUGGUUUAUCUAUAAUCUCUAUCUAUCCAUGCAUUCCUAAUCUAAUCUGCCCUUUAAUGUAAUUCAUUUCGAAAUGAUCCCUCUCCAAAGUCAUUUAGGUUGGAGCCAUAUGGUUCUUUCUUUCCUUUAUCUUUCACACAGGAAGAAGAGAGCGAAGGAAGGAAGGAAGGAAGGAAGGAAGGAAGGAAGGAAGGAAGGAAGGAAGGAAGGAAGGAAGGAAGGAAGGAAGGAAGGAAGGAAGGAAGGAAACAUUGUCUCUGUUUAGCCCAAUGAUGGGCAACCUUUUGCUCUUGGUGUGUCAAAAUUCACAAAAAAAACCUAGCAUGAUUUGGGUGGUGUGUCACUUUGAGAAAAAAACCCCAUAAUUUUGCAAUAUGUAUAGUUUAAAUAACAAAAAUAUAUAAUUGUAAUAUAUAACUGUAUUCAAUAAAUCAAAAACUAUUUACUACCAUUAUUUCCAUGUACAACAAUCUAUGGUACCUCUUGCAGCUUCCACACUGAUUUCUCUCUAUUCUAGUUUCAACGUAGUCAUGAAUAAUAAAUAAUAUAAUAAUAUACUAGUAAUAAUAUAAUAUACUACAAUAAUAAUAGAAUAAUAAUAGAAUGAUAUAAUCUAUAUGUAUAAAAUAGUGAUGGCAUCAGGGCAGCAGACAAAACAACAACACAACCCACCCAUAAUAAAUAAUAUAAUAAUAUACUAGUAAUAAUAUAAUAUAAUAUACUACAAUAAUAAUAGAAUAAUAAUAUAAUGAUAUAAUCUAUAUAUAUAAAAGAGUGAUGGCAUCAGGGCAGUGGACAAAACAACAAAACUACACGCCCCCCAACCUCAAAAUUUGACAACACAACCCAUCAUCCAUGGCUCUAGGUUGAUACAACAAAAAGAAAAUAAAAAUAAAAUCCUAAUUAGAGGUAGAGGAAUAAUUGUUUUUAUUUAAUUGCUGCCAGUUACAAGGCUAAGUUCCACCCACUUGGUCUCCUAGCAACCUACUCAGCCCAGGGGACAGGCACAAGAGUUUGGAGAGACCCCUAAGGGCCAUCCAGCCCAACCCUUUCUACUAUGCAGCAGGACACAAUCCAAGCAUUCACAACACAUGGACAACGUAUAAAUACUAUACAAUACUACACAGGGACAUAGACCCCCCUCUAUCCUCACCACUUUCACAGUACACAAACAACCAAAUGCAUACUAAACAUAAAGGCAACCAUACAACAGACAUUCAAUACCACCACUACCUCAACAAGUUCUCACCAACACCACCAGACAAUGCCACAGCAAUGCGUGGCCGGGCAUAGUUAGUAAUAUAAUAAUAUACUAGUAAUCAUAUAAUAUACUACAAUAAUAAUAGAAUAAUAAUAGAAUGAUAUAAUUAUAUAUAUGUGUGUGUAAUGUGCAUAAUUCCCAUGGAGUAAACAACAAAACCACUGGACCAAAUCACACCAAAUUUGGCCACAAAAGACAUAGUCAUCCAAUCAAUCUGCAUGCGGCAGCGUGUCAGCCAAAAUGGCUAGGCGUGUCAGUGCUGACACGCGUGUCAUAGGUUGGCCAUCACUGGUUUAACCCUUUGUCGAUGGGCAAGAGUCUGUGGAUAGAUCCCAAUGCUGCUGUUUGAUCCCAAUUCAACUGCCAUGGCUGAAUGGUAUGGAAUCUUGGGAACAGGUUCAUCAGCCUCCCUGCCAAGGAGUUCUGGUGCCACACCAAACUACAGAUCCCAGUGUAGACGCACCUAGAGUGGCCUUCUGUUGGUACCAAAACCACUGUGUCCCUGGCUCGCCCCAUGCAUUGUGCAGCCUCUUUUUGAAGCCGCUGCCCAGCUGCAAGGCUGCUGUUUCAGUGCCUAAACACAAUCCCCUUCAACAGGAGACCGGCGUCUAAUCCACGCUGGGAUUUGACUGUGUCUCUAAGCAACGGCAAAGAUGGAUUUACCAAUGCUCCGUAUAAUGGCUUGUAUCCACCGCGCAGAUGACCCACUGUCCUCAAACAUUGCCUUUGACAGAAGGUGUGGAAGAUUUAGGAGCUGGGAGGGAUUUUUCCCUUUCCCUUCCUCUCUCUUUUAAACUAUCCGCCUAGUACUACUACUACUAGGCAACAGUAUUACUGCCUGGAAGGAACUGUAAUAAUAAUAAUAAUAAUAAUAAUAAUAAUAAUAAUAAUAAUAAUAAUAAUAAGGAGAAGACCUGGCUCUGGCUCACGAAUGGGACCCUGAAGAAGGAGACAGAAGGCCCAAUCCUUGCAGCCCAGGAGCAAGACAUCAGAACAAAGGCAAUUAAGGCCAAGGUCGAAAAAUCAGCUGAUGACCCAAAAUGCAGACUGUGCAAGGAAACCGACGAAACCAUUGAUCAUCUCCUCAGCUGCUGCAAGAAAAUUGCACAGACAGACUACAAACAGAGGCACAACUAUGUGGCCCAAAUGAUUCAUUGGAAUUUAUGCCUCAAGUACCACCUGCCAGCAGCAAAGAACUGGUGGGAUCACAAACCUGCAAAAGUAUUGGAAAAUGAGCACGCAAAGAUACUGUGGGACUUCCGAAUCCAGACUGACAAAGUUCUGGAACACAACACACCAGACAUCACAGUUGUGGAAAAGAAAAAGGUUUGGAUCAUUGAUGUUGCCAUCCCAGGUGACAGUCGCAUUGACGAAAAACAACAGGAAAAACUCAGCCGCUAUCAGGACUUCAAGAUUGAACUUCAAAGACUCUGGCAGAAACCAGUACAAGUGGUCCCGGUGGUGAUGGGCACAUUGGGUGCCGUGCCAAAAUAUCUCAGCUGGCAUUUGGAAACAAUAGACAUUGACAAAAAAUGUGAUCUGCCAGCUGCAAAAGGCCACCCUGCUGGGAUCUGCACGCAUCAUCCGGAAAUGCAUCACACAGUCCUAGACACUUGGGAAGUGUUCGACUUGUGAUUUUGUGAUAUGAAAUCCAGCAUAUCUAUCUUGUUUGCUGUGUCAUAAUAAAAUAAUAAUUAAUAAUAAUAAAAAUAAUAAUAAAACUUUAUUUAUACCCCGCCACCAUCUCCCCAACGGGGACUCGGGGCGGCUUACAUGGGGCCAUGCCCAAAACAAUACAAUAUAAACAGCAUAUAAAAGAACAACACAUCACAACACAAUAAGCAAUACAAUAAAUAAUAAUAUCCAUUACAAAAUAAAUCAAGGAAACAAUGAAAAACAAGGGUGGACCACAUGAACAUUAAGUUAAAACUCGGGGUGAGAGAGACAUAAGAAUAAAAAAACACAGCAAACAGGGUCAUAAGGAAGUGGGGUAGUCUGGAGGAUAGAUAUUAGAGGGAGCAACGGAAAAGAAAUAUAAAAUAGUUACUCUCCAAAAGCACAACGGAAGAGCCAUGUUGUAGCCUAAAUGUAGAUGCUUUCAGGGUCUCAGUGCAAAAUUUUAUAUAUAUAUAUAUAUAUAUAUAUAUAUAUAUAUAUAUAUAUAUAUAUAUAUAAAAAUAACAGUAUUUAUAUUCUGCCCUUCUCACCCCGAAGGGUACUCAGGGCAGAUUACAUUAUAUACAUAUAGGGCAAACAUUCAAUGCCCAUAUACACAUAGAACCGAGACAGAGACAGACGCAGAGGCAAUUUUAACCUUCUCCUAGGAGCCUAGGGGAUAAAAGCCUUGUGACUUGAAGGUUGGGUUGCUGACCAGAAGGCUGCCAGGUUCGAAUCCCACCAAAGGAGAACGCGGAUGAGCUCCCUCUCUCAGCUCCAGCUCCAUGCGGGGACACGAAAGAAGCCUCCCACAAGGAUGAUAAAAACAUUAAAACAUCCGGGCCUCCCCUGGGCAAUGUCCUUGCAGACGGCCAAUUCUCUCACUCCAGAAGCAACUCCGGUUGCUCCUGACAUAUAAAAACAAAAACCAAAAAAUACCCCCUUCUCCUGAGGGAUGUUCGAGUCUGGCCACAGAGUGGAGCAGCUGCUUCAUCAUCCACUGUGACGGCAUUUCCUCAUUCCAUCUAUAGCUUCUCUGUGGCUGCUAUGUCCCCAAAAUUCUGGAAAUCCUCUGAUGUCCCUGACAUUUACACGUUCUUUCGCCUUCUCUGCCAAACAACUCUGCUGCCUCACCAAACUACAAACCCAGGGGAUCUGUGGGAUGGAGCUAAAGUGAGGCCAAAUUGUGUUGUCUAAUGGCACAGUGUGUUAAAGCGCUGAGCUGCUGAGCUUGCAGACCAAAAGGUCCCAGGUUCAAAUCCCAGCAGCGGAAUGAGCGCCCGCUGUUAGCCCCAGCUCCUGCCAACCUAGCAGUUCGAAAACAUGCCAAUGUGAGUAGAUCAAUAGGUACCGCUCCGGAGGGAAGGUAAUGGUGCUCCAUGCAGUCAUGCCUAUGUCCACAUGACCUUGGAGAUGUCUACGGACAAUGCCGGCUCUUCGGCUUAGAAAUGGAGAUGAGCACCAACCCCAGAGUCGGUCACGACUGGACUUAACGUCAGGGGAAACCUUUACCUUACCUAAGGCUUUCAUGGCUGCUUCCAACCUGGAGGAAUCCUUUGUUGGGAGGUGUCAUGGUGGGAGAAAGCACUCUUGUCUGCCUGGGGCAUGUUUAGAUGUCGCAGCCAGGCUUUGAAGCUGCAAGGCUAUUCAAUGCUUAUCAAGCUGGCCAAUUGCCACAUUCACACUUUCCUCAGGCAGACAAGGUUCUGUCACCCACCCUGGGUAUUCCACACAUAUAUAAAUUUCACUUAACAAGUUUCAUACAGUCCUGAAAACCUCUGAGGAUGCCUGCCAUAGAUGUGGGUGAAACAUCAGGAGAGAAUGCUUCUGGAACAUGGCCAUACAGCUCAGAGAACUCACAGGAACCCUGAGGGCAAAUUUGUGAACAUUUGUAAAGAGACACUGUGAUAUAAUGGGUUGUCUGGAAAGGCAUGUGUCGACAGCUGAUUGGGUGAGCCAGCCAGGAGCCAGAAUUCCGAUUGGCCACUGUCUCUAGCUUGCUGCUGAGACAAAUGGUUUUCUCACCUCAGAGAGUGCUGACUGGAAACAGGAAGGAAAUGGCUGCCAGCUCUUUGGAUAUAUUCUAGUUGCUGGGACUUUGGCUUCCUUUGAAAGGACCUUGUUUCAUGCCUAUGCUUCUAUGGAUUUGAUGAUUACCGCCUUGUUUUGUAACUAUAUUUUGGAACUGAACUUUUACCUUUUAUGAACUAUAUUUCUGCCUAUUUCUUAAUAAACUACAAAAGACUA